UGACCUGAAUAACCAAACGCGUUUAAAAAUCACGGUUACGGACGUCACCGGUUGUUCUUCCCUUAGUUAUCGAGGUUCCAUUCAUAAGCUAAGAUUAGCGAAUUUUCUAUAACUCUUGAAAUUCAACUGUUGAAUUUCUGCUGGGUUGAAUUACUCUUUUCGCUCGUGUAUAUUAGGUGCAUUUAGGUUAACAUUAACUCAUUUAAUUGUCCGCUAGGGGGUGACGGGUAGUGGCUGUGGAUUGCCACGUGAUAAGUGGGUUUUCCCUAAAGGUGUAACUCACAGUUGUUAGUCUCAAUGUUGAAACUUUGAUUGUUACUCAGUUUGACCACUUGAAAGCAGUGAAAAAUUAACUUUGAUGCCAUCUAGUUCCACAACAUGGAAAAUUCCAAAUUAUUGAACAAUGUUUAGUGACUAAUGAUGAAGAUCUGACAAUCUUAUUUUAUAUUAUUUAUUUAUGGAUUGCAUUAAUGAAUAUUUCUAUUAUUUUUACCACGAGCAAAUAACUUGUGAAGCAUUAUCCGGACCAACAUUUUAGUGACAAUCUUAGGAGUCCUUUCGUACGACUAAUCAAACAACAGUUCAGUAAUUUUUUAUACUAUCAUUUUUAGUUUAUAGUACUUCAUAAAGCAUACUUUGUUUAUUGGUUGAGCCCUUCGCUGUCGACAAUAUAUUGCUUUCUUUGACGAAGGAAUUAAAAGCAAGUUGUUUUGUUCGGCUAACUGGAAGACAAAGUAAUGUGAAAAACUAUAUUUUGUUAAACAGAAUUUCAGUUUGACAAAAUUUGAUUGGGAGAUAAAAAACACUAUUGAAAAUAUAUCAAUACUCAAAAAUUUAGUUGACAAAUUGAGAAGAUUGUGAAAGAAAUGGCAUUCAUUUAUUGUUGCUAGUGUUCUUGUUGUUAUUGAUGAUAUAGUUUUGUUGUUUUGCUAUUGAUAAAUAAUUGUUUUUAAAUCAUAUUUUAUAUCAUAUGUAAUAUGAAUUUUACUAAAUUAUGAAAAAGAAAUUGAAUUUUUAUCAAAUAUUUACAACUAUGAAAUGACUAAAACAUUAUACAUUACUAAAAAGAGAUUAAAAUAUUCACAAAUCAAUUUUUAAAUAUUUAAUAGAAAUAAUCUUAUAGGUAAGAUAACAAUAAUAAAUUACCUGUUUAAAUAAAAAAUUACUUGUUAAACAGGAAGGAACAAUGCAAAUAUAACUUGCAACUCAUCCUUCCUUUAAAGAUUCCUAUAUCAGCACCUAUUACAGUAGAAACAGUUCAGUUGAAAUUUUUUUAUAAUAUAAGAAGCAUGAAAAGUUUUAUUUUUGUUCUUGUAUUUUUAUACACAUAUCAAAUAAAAUAUUGUUCUAGUAAAGAUGUAAGAUCAUCUUCAUUAAAGAUAGGUGCUUUUAAUGUUCAAAAUUUAGGUGCCAAAAAACUAAAUAAUGAAGAAAUUGCAGAAAUUAUUAGAAAUAUUAUACUUCGUUAUGAUGUCAUCCUAAUACAAGAAAUUGUAACCCGUAAUCAGAAUCUUAUAAAAGAAUUUCUCAAUUCAGUUAACAGUGUAGCACCAAAACGAAUAGUCUAUGAUAUGGUUUUGAGCAAACGUUUAGGAAGAAAUAAAGCUAAAGAGCAGUAUGCUUUCUUCUACAGGAGAGAUGCUGUUUCAGUAUUAGAUAAAAUGGUAUAUCCUGAUUUGGAAGAUAAAUUUAUGAGACCUCCUUAUAUAGUGCAUUUUCAAACUCCAACAGUUGAAAACAUGCCAUCUUUUAUUGCAAUUGGCAUUCACACACAACCAAGUAAUGCAGCAAAUGAAACAGAUUAUUUAACAGAUGUCUAUGAUUUUGCAAAGAAUAAGUAUAAAAUAAAAGAUGCAAUGAUUAUGGGAGAUAUGAAUGCAGGGUGUUCUUCAGUACGAGUGCGUGACUGGAAAAAUAUUCGACUAAGAACUAGAAGAGACUUUAUCUGGUUAAUAGGUCAAAAUGUUGAUACUACAACAAAUGCCAAUACUUGUCCUUAUGAUAGAAUUGUAAUUGCCGGCGAGAAAAUUGAAAGUGCAAUAAUACCUAAUUCAGCUGGAAUAUUCAAUUUUCAGAAUGCAUAUAAAUUAACUUUAGAGGAGAUCUAUAAAUUUUUACUGACAUCCAUCUGUCUGUCUAUCCUUCCUUAAUCUAAGAAUGGAGUUAGAUAAAAGUUAAAACCAAGUAUGGAAAGCUUUGGAGAUCCCAUUUAACAUCUGCUGUUUUAUUCUCCUGGAGGCAUUUUACAUAUACAUGUGUAAAAGAAUAAGCAAUGAUAAGAGGUGCCUAAGAAGGUGAGGCCCUUGCCAUAACCAG
rnacentral:misc_RNA from 1 species